GCAAAGUGGGUGGGAACAAAAACCUCACGGAACCUCCUUGUGUGCCUCCGUCUGAUGGAUGGGGCUGAAGGACGGAAGAUCCACAGAGGGGGAUUGUCAACAGGGAUGUAUCUCUAUCUUCAAGAAGCUCCUGAAGACCCAGCUCUUCCAAGAGCAUCUUCUGUCCUAGUACUGACCUUACCAUCACUGUUCAUGUCGGAUUGGCUAUAAAGCACCCAAAUGGACUCCAGAGAUGCAAAAAGUGUGUGCGAUAGUUUUGCCUGUGAGGCCCCGUCACCGUGUUCCACUUACCAUUGCAGUGAGUCCAAAGUAUCGCAAGACGUUUGAGACAAGGUUAAACUCGGCUUGUGCCUUGGAC